rnacentral:rRNA from 1 species
CAGUAGCCGCGGUAAAACGUAGGUCCCGAGCGUUGUCCGGAUUUAUUGGGCGUAAAGCGAGCGCAGGCGGUUAGAUAAGUCUGAAGUUAAAGGCUGUGGCUUAACCAUAGUACGCUUUGGAAACUGUUUAACUUGAGUGCAGAAGGGGAGAGUGGAAUUCCAUGUGUAGCGGUGAAAUGCGUAGAUAUAUGGAGGAACACCGGUGGCGAAAGCGGCUCUCUGGUCUGUAACUGACGCUGAGGCUCGAAAGCCAGGGGAGCGAACGGGAUUAGAUACCCCAGUAGUCCCUGUCUCUUAUACA